rnacentral:rRNA from 1 species
ACGAACGCUGGCGGCGUGCUUAACACAUGCAAGUCGCACGGAAAGGCCCUGCUUUUGUGGGGUGCUCGAGUGGCGAACGGGUGAGUAACACGUGAGUAACCUGCCCUUGACUUUGGGAUAACUUCAGGAAACUGGGGCUAAUACCGGCUAGGAGCUCCUGCUGCCUGGUGGGGGUUGGAAAGUUUCGGCGGUUGGGGAUGGACUCGCGGCUUAUCAGCUUGUUGGUGGGGUAGUGGCUUACCAAGGCUUUGACGGGUAGCCGGCCUGAGAGGGUGACCGGCCACAUUGGGACUGAGAUACGGCCCAGACUCCUACGGGAGGCAGCAGUGGGGAAUAUUGCACAAUGGGCGGAAGCCUGAAGCAGCAACGCCGCGUGCGGGAUGACGGCCUUCGGGUUGUAAACCGCUUUCGCCUGUGACGAAGCGUGAGUGACGGUAAUGGGUAAAGAAGCACCGGCUAACUACGUG